AAAUUUAGUGGUAUGGCAAAAACUAGUGCUUCAUUUGUUCUAGCUGUCCUUGUAGUAGCAAUAUUUCUGAAUGGCUAUAAAGCUGCUGAGAGUUUAGAAAGCGGUAAUCAACCUAAGAAAGCACGAGUAGACGGAAAUAAUUGCGUUGGGCCGGUAGAAUGUACAAGUGUAAGGUGUUCCGCAUUUUGUUGGAAAAGAGGCAUUUCUGGCGGCUAUUGUGCAACGCCAUUUGAGUGUUGUUGUUGAGGAGUUAAGAGAUCUAUGUUUGAUAACUAUACAUUCUAUAUAUGAUUUUGCAGGUAUAUCAGCAAAAUAGUCUUUGAAAAAAUACUAUUGUAAGUUCAAUUACGAUGUAAUUUCCAAUAUUAAGAAUUGCCAGUAAUAAAGUGAAAUAUCCUACCACUUA